AACGAACGCUGGCGGCAUGCCUAACACAUGCAAGUCGAACGAAACCUUCGGGUCUAGUGGCGCACGGGUGCGUAACGCGUGGGAACCUGCCCUUAGGUUCGGAAUAACUCCCCGAAAGGGGUGCUAAUACCGGAUAAUGUCUUCGGACCAAAGAUUUAUCGCCUUUGGAUGGGCCCGCGUUGGAUUAGCUAGUUGGUAGGGUAAAAGCCUACCAAGGCGACGAUCCAUAGCUGGUCUGAGAGGAUGCUCAGCCACACUGGGACUGAGACACGGCCCAGACUCCUACGGGAGGCAGCAGAGGGGAAUAUUGGACAAUGGGCGAAGGCCUGAUCCAGCAGUGUCGCGUGAGUGAGGAAGGCCUUAGGGUUGUAAAGCUCUUUUACCCGGGAUGAUAAUGACAGUACCGGGUGAAUAAGCUCCGGCUAACUCCGUG
rnacentral:rRNA from 1 species